rnacentral:rRNA from 1 species
AUUGAACGCUGGCGGCAUGCUUUACACAUGCAAGUCGAACGGUAACAGGCCGCAAGGUGCUGACGAGUGGCGAACGGGUGAGUAAUGCAUCGGAACGUGCCCAGUCGUGGGGGAUAACUACUUGAAAGAGUAGCUAAUACCGCAUACGAUCUAUGGAUGAAAGCGGGGGACCGUAAGGCCUCGCGCGAUUGGAGCGGCCGAUGUCAGAUUAGGUAGUUGGUGGGGUAAAGGCUCACCAAGCCAACGAUCUGUAGCUGGUCUGAGAGGACGACCAGCCACACUGGAACUGAGACACGGCCCAGACUCCUACGGGAGGCAGCAGUGGGGAAUUUUGGACAAUGGGCGCAAGCCUGAUCCAGCAAUGCCGCGUGCAGGAAGAAGGCCUUCGGGUUGUAAACUGCUUUUGUACGGAACGAAACGGCUCUGGUUAAUACCCGGGGCUAAUGACGGUACCGUAAGAAUAAGCACCGGCUAACUACGUG